AGAUAAAGUGAAUAUGGGAGUCGAUACCGCCUGCCGUAACGAUCUUACCUUCGGCGGCAAUAACGUCGGUACCUGGGCCGACUUCCAUCGUGACAUCUGGCUGUACGUCGGGGUUACCGGCUUUACCAAUAGCAGCGAUACGCCCGCCUUUAAUGCCGAUGUCGGCUUUAUAAAUACCCGUGUGAUCGAUAACCAGCGCGUUGGUCAUGACACAAUCCAUGACUUUUUCGGAGGUACUUUGCGACUGACCCAUGCCAUCACG
rnacentral:sRNA from 1 species